AUUAACACAGGACAGAUCUGGGCUUUUAAAAGCCCAGAUCUGUCCUAUGAGGGACAACGAUAUAGUUUUCACAAAAGCCGAUAAGGGAUCAUGCUUACUUACCUUAAAAAGAGACGAUUACAUAAAUAAAGUAAUGGAUUUUCUAAACACAGAAGACUUUGAAAAGGUCAACAGAGAUCCGACAGGUCCAUUCUUUAAUAAAUUUAAAAAAGUCUUAGACAUGACCUUGGUAACCAUAGAAUAUUUUAAUUCUACAAAACAAAAACUAUAUCCCAUGAACCCUAAAACACCUCUAUUAUAUGGGUUGCCAAAAGUCCAUAAAACUAGCAUGCCAAUUAGACCUGUGGUUUCCUUUGUUGACUCCCCUUGUUACCAGUUAUCAUCUUGGCUUAACAACGUUCUUAGAAAUGUCUCAAACUUCAAAGCACCAUAUUCUGUAACAAAUUCAGUGAAUUUUGCCAAAAGCAUUCAGAAUGUUCACCUUCCAGAUACAGCCCAGCUUAUAUCGCUAGACGUGAAAAACUUAUUUCCAAGCAUUCCACCCGCUGAUUGUCUGGUCUUAGUCAAAGAUCUUCUCAGGGGAAACUUGAUUCACUUUUGGUGGAAAAUCUACUUUUGCUUCUUUCUACUGUGUUAGAUCAAAAUUUUUUCCAAUUUAACAACCGUUUUUUCAAACAAAAAGAAGGUCUAGCAAUGGGCUGUUCUUUAUCGCCAUUUCUUAGUGAAGUAUUUCUUAGCAACUUAGAAACAAAAAUAAUGAGCAGUAAUUUUAAAAAUAACAUCAUCUUUUAUAAACGGUAUGUGGAUGAUAUAUGUUUGAUUUGGAAUGGAAGUGAGGUAGAGCUUACAAAUUUCCAUAAUUAUGUCAACUCUCUUCACUCUAAAAUUGAGUUCACAAUCGAACGGGAACAGAACAACACCUUACCAUUCUUAGAUUUAUUACUUAAGAGGGAAAGAAAUAAGAUAUCCUUUGAAAUAUUUCGUAAACAAGCAACAACAGAUAAUAUUAUACAAUAUAAUUCAACAUCACCGUCCUCACAUAAAUUUGCUGCUUUUCAUUCUUUAUUUUACAGACUUUUUAACAUCCCACUUUCUCGUGAAGCUUUUAAAAAAGAAUUCCUUACCAUUAAACAACUACCAGUCAGUAACUUUUUCCCUCUUAAACCUAUAUAUAAAAUGUAUUUUCAGUAUGUGAACAAGUAUAAAUUAUCAUUUAAUUUUAUCAGACAACAAACAAACAAUAUCAAAACUUUUAGGUCGUUUACUUAUUUUGGACCAAUUUCGUCACAAUUAUCCCGCUUUUUUUCUCCCUUUGGCAUAACCGCAGCUUUUAAAACCAAUAAUACCUUAAAUAGACAUCUAAUUAAAACUAAAGAUAAACUACCCCCGCUAUCUUCUCCAGGAGUUUAUGAGAUUAGGUGUAAAGAGUGCCCUGCAGUGUACGUCGGCCAGUCUGGUAGGAAGAUUUCUACUAGGAUUAGUGAACACAAGGCCCAAUACAAUAAAUUUUAAAAUACCGAAAUCACAGUGACCAGAUCAGCUUUUGCUAAUCACCUUCUCGACUCCAGACAUGAUUUUCCUGACGGCCAAAAUAUAAAAAUACUGCAUCAAUGCAACAAAAGUAAAAAACUAGACUUGUUGGAGACAAUGGAGAUUAAUAAAGCUUUUAAAAGCCCAGAUCUGUCCUGUGUUAAUGAAAGGUUUGAUUUUGAUGGCCACCUAGUUUUUAAUAACCUCAAGUAGUUCUAGACUCUUAAAUGAUGGUUAGAUUUCUGAAAUGUAUAAAGGAUUUGAUUGUUUAGUUGAGUUCUUUGUACAUAGAUAGUGCCACUUUAUUGUAAUCUUUGUUUACUUAAAUAUUAGGUGUUUUGUGUAUGUUAUGGUAAGUUUUUGUUGAAUUCUCCUGUUUUCGGGUUACAUAAUUUUAAUUAUUGUUUAGGUCUGAUGAUGCUCUAGUCGAGCGAAACAUGUAACCUUCGUUAUUUUAUUAAAUGUAUUUGUGAUGCUGUAGAUUUCGUGUUUUUUACCUUUUAUAAAAGUGUAUGACGAGCAUCUUUGGGAUAAUGGAUGAGUUUUUCGAGUCACUUAUAUCUUGUCUUGCACUAAGUAGAACUUUAUCAAAACACUUGAGACGUUUACAUUGGCAAUCGCUUCCUGUCACGUGGCUUUGUAGGUUAAGUUUUUUAGAAACAUCGGUUAGCCUUCCGUAACUUUUUCUCUUUUUUCCCUGAACUGGCAUAACAAUAAAGUCUUCACUGUCACUGAUACUUGGAUUCAUUUUAUACUGUUUAUUAGCACUACAAUAUUAAAAUACGACUUGUCACUUAUAUUUCCACAAGUUUGACGAACAAUAAAUAAACACCAGAUCCGGUAAACACAAUCAGAAAAUAAAAAUAACUGCAGUCAAGAGAGCCUUCUGAUAGUUCCUGAAUAACGUGCAUUUGUGACGUUCCCCCUUCUUAGCAUGUGGCGCGCGGACUCUCCUUCUUUUUAGCCAGUACAGCUUAAUUUAAAUUGUCGAUAUCUGGCGACUCUUCCCUUUUUUCGCCUGUAUAAUGUUACUAGGUGAUACUUCUGUCUAUUAAAAGUUGAACGGACUGAACAGCUCAAAAUGAGCAAAAAGUGACAUUCCCCCUUUUUAGCCUGUACCCUUCAUAUAUUCAAAUUAUGUGGAAAAAUAUUUUAUUGUCUUAUAUAAAUACCAUAUUUCUUAUUAUACAAUAUUUCUUUAUCUUUUAUAAUUUCUAAUAGUUUAUUUUAAUAAAAAUGAUUAUUAACUUUUAAUUUAAUUCCUAACUGUUACUUUUUCUAAUUUUUUGUUUCUAAGUAAAAAAAAAAAGAAAACAUCAGGGGAUUUUGUUAGCCAUAACACAGAUGCGUCUCUUCUAAUCCAAGAUUCGGAAAUAUUUGGUUUAGACAAAAAGUUUCUCGAUUCUCUUUCGUGUUUUAAUUUCUUCAUUCAUACACUAUUUUAUAGUUUGGAUGAAUUACGUUUAGGUGUAUUAAUUGGUUUCGUGGCAUUAUACGAUAGGUUAUGCUUAUGCAAUAUUCAUAACGAUAUGCAUUAUUGAUGCAAUUUGCCUACAACCAUUUUUCCAAAGCCAAAUUAUUCGUCACUUUUAUCGAUUUAUCUGUGAUCUAUUACAGGACUUUUGCUUAAUGGUCAUACUAAAACCGUCUAUAUUCUUAAUCAUCUUGAAGAAAUUCAAUUAAAAAAAAAUAAUCCAAUAAAUGCUAGCCGAUAACACUACGUUAAUCACCUAAACCAACUCUAAUUUGUGGUCUUUUUUUGUUCAACAUGAUACCAAUUUUCUUGCAUCAAUAAUUGUUAAUUAUGGCGAGUAAACGUGCCACAAUUGGUAAAUCUAAUUUUAUCUAUCAAUAAUGCUUUACACUACAUAUUCCUUUUAAAUUUUGAUGAUCCGCGGGGUAGUGAACAGUAAUUAGAACAGGUUAUUUUGAUGUUUCUUUAGCUCACUUCUUACAAUGUUUGGUACAAGUACUGAGAUCUUUUUAGUAAGUUCCUUCGUAAAAAUGCAGGAAUUUUUAUUUGUAUUUUCCAAAACAUUUAUCUCUGUACUUUCAUUUACUCUUAUAGGUAAUAUUUUAACUAAACUACUAUAAAUUCCCAAAUUAUCAUACAGCCUUUGCCAACAUGUAGGGAAUGAUGGCUGGCGACGAUCAAAAUAUUGGAAAAAUACAUCUUAGCAAAUAAGACGUCACGGGCUUAAAGUUAUAGGGUUCUCGGUUACAAAAUAUGGUCUUUGAUAAAAUCGAUUUGAAAGGUUGGGUUCUUGUAAGUUCAAUUUAGAAGUAUUUAAAUAGAAAAGUAUAAUUGAAGAGAAUUUAACUAACAUAAAUAAAGGUCUUCUUUCUUAAAAUCGUUGAUACAUACUUCAGUGGCAGAGAGGGGCAAAAAAAAACAAAGACAUAGAACUUUGUAAUCUAAACUUUUCUUUGCUUAAAGGUAAACAUAGAAUUACGAGUGUAUUUCAUAGAACAUAGAACUUUAUUAUCUAAAAAGAUAAGGAUUUCCUUGGAUAUAGAAAAAGACAUAGAAUUUAAGAUCUAAUGUACAUUUUAUUAGUGCCAAAAACAUAUUAAAAUAAACAAAAAUCUACUUUUUAGUUUUUGGUUUUAGUUUUAGUUGAGAUAUAGAAGCUUUAGAAAACUUGUCAGUGGCAUCCACUUUAACAUAAAUUUUAAUGCUUCUAUUUUAUGAAUUGGGAGCUCUGUUAAUACACUGCUGGGAAUCGCUUCAAUGGACAAGAGACUUUUCAUGGUACAUCUUUUAUUUUACACUCACUUAAUAUAUUACUUGAAUAUGUUAAGUUAUAGUAUACAACAUGUGACAUUGAUUUUGAAAAGUGUAACAGCCUUUGGAAAAAGGUACUUUUUCAUAUUGUACUUUGCAGGACAGGUUUUGGAAAUUUUUAAGAUCAGUCGCUUUCAUUUGCAUUAUUUUGUAAGGCUUAUGGCGAUUAACUUUUAAAAGAAUUCUGAUAAGUGAGAUACUCUACUUUGCUUAGUACCUUUUCUAUUGCACUAUGUGUAGAAUCAACUUCUGAACACAAAAGUGACCAGGAAUCGAAUUUAUUUGACAGUUAUUGGGGGGUUAAUCGAUAUAAUGGACUGUAUAAUAAAUGUAAUCAAUAAAAAUACCAAUAGGUACACUUAACUGGUUAUAAUAUUUAUUUAAUGAAUAUAUGACAGUGAAGUUCAGAGGCUAACUUAAAACUAAAGUAAGCCCUAAACGGUCAAUCAUUUUGAUUAAACGAUUGCGCCAAUUUAUUGAAUUAAGCAUGAUUGAUCGUCUAGAAACCCGUUUGUCGAUUGAGUCAAUCAUUGAUAGUCAUUGAUGAAAAGUUUGAUUGACGCAAAUGAUUGAAGAGGACGCUUGACCGUUUAGGAGCGUUUUGAUCAACUUUUCCAACAGUUAGACGCUUAGAAGCAAUCAUGGAUGACUCUUCGCAGGCCGACAACAACGAAACAAAACCGGAACGUGAGUUUACAAGCUUGUUAAUAGAUUUAUAUCGACAUUCCCCAGAGCUGUGAAAAGUGAAAAGCAAGGACUACUUUAAUAGAAAUAAAAAAAGCGCGGCGUUUGAAAAAAUUGUGGGUGUUUUAAAAGUGUUAAAACCGGACUUCACUGUUCAAAAAUUAAAACAAAAAAUUAAUACUUUGAGAACUAAUUUUAACAGGGAAUACAAGGCAAUUGAAGCAAAAAAAGUGUCUGGGGCGUCAGCGGAUGAUGUUCCUGAACCAUCGCACUGGGAUUACAACGACCUUUUAUUUAUAAAGGAUCAAAUUGAAAUUGCAUCAACAGAAACUUCAGAGUCACUGUUGCCUGAAGACUCGCAGCCAUUUCCUGCCUCAAGUACUGCUUCUACUCGUACUAAUGAAACUGCACUAGCUUCCAUCACUCCUACCCGAACUUCACAGCCUUUUUCAAAGAAAAAAAAAGGUUAGCCAGAUCCAACUGAGCACCUAGUGGAACUGGCUUCAGAGUAUUUUAGAAGACCUGAGCUAGAAGAGGACAUACUAGCUAAAGGUUGGGCUAUAAAACUAAAAAAGUUACUUCCAGACCAAAAGCGGUUCGCCGAAAAAAUUAUAAAUGAUGUGCUUUUUGAAGUAGAAAUGGCUAGCUUAACAAGGGUCGGAUUGCGUUUUGGAACACACCCACGUUGGUCACCCUCUCAACCUCCAGCGUCACCACAGUCAGGUUAUAGUUGGCAGCGCUGUCUCACCGCACCAUAUGCACCUCCGUUACAACAAACAAUGUGGUAUCCAUCUCCGUCACAACAACCAAUGUACUCUAUAUCUCCAUCACAACAACCAAUGUGCUCUCCAUCUCCGACACAACAACCAAUGUGCUCUCCAUCUCCGUCACAACAAUCAAUACACUCUCCACCUGAAGCCAAUGACAGUUCUUCCCGAGGCUCUGCCCCUUCUGUAAUGCAUUCACCACAACCCAGUGCAGAAAAUUUGCAAGAAAAGUGCGGCGGACUUGUUUUCAACAUUUUUGUCAAUGUGAAUUAGACACUUUAAUUUAUUUUAAUGUUUCCUUUUUAAUUUUUAUAUGCAAAUAUGUUUAAUGUGUAAUAAAAAGAUUUUGAAAACUUA